rnacentral:rRNA from 1 species
CGCGCAGGCGGUCCAUUCAGUCGCUGGUGAAAGCCCCACGCUCAACGUGGGAAGGUCCGGCGAGACGGGUGGACUGGAGGCAGGGAGAGGUCGGUGGAAUUCCGGGUGUAGUGGUGAAAUGCGUAGAGAUCCGGAGGAACACCAGAGGCGAAGGCGGCCGACUGGACCUGACCUGACGCUGAGGCGCGAAGGCGUGGGGAGCGAACGGGAUUAGAUACCCCGGUAGUCCACGCGGUAAACGAUGUGCACUGGGUAUGGCGGGAGUUGACCCCUGCCGUGCCGGCGAUAACUCAGUAAGUGCACCGCCUGGGGAGUACGGCCGCAAGGCUAAA